UACGAAGGGUGCAAACGUUGCUCGGAAUUAUUGGGCGUAAAGCGCACGUAGGCGGCAUUGCAAGUCGGAUGUGAAAUCCCUCGGCUUAACCAAGGAAGUGCAUCCGAAACUGCAGUGCUUGAGUACUUAAGAGGAUCGCGGAAUUCCCGGUGUAGAGGUGAAAUUCGUAGAUAUGGGAGGAACACCAGUGGCGAAGGCGGCGAUCUGGGAAGAUACUGACGCUGAGGUGCGAAAGCGUGGGGAGCAAACAGG
rnacentral:rRNA from 1 species